UACGAAGGGGGCUAGCGUUGUUCGGAAUCACUGGGCGUAAAGCGCACGUAGGCGGAUCUUUAAGUCAGGGGUGAAAUCCCGAGGCUCAACCUCGGAACUGCCUUUGAUACUGGGGAUCUCGAGUCCGGGAGAGGUGAGUGGAACUGCGAGUGUAGAGGUGAAAUUCGUAGAUAUUCGCAAGAACACCAGUGGCGAAGGCGGCUCACCGGCCCGGAACUGACGCUGAGGUGCGAAAGCGUGGGGAGCAAACAGG
rnacentral:rRNA from 1 species